rnacentral:rRNA from 1 species
GGAUCUUCCACAUGGACGAAGUCUGAUGGAGCAACGCCGCGUGAGUGAAGAAGGGUUUCGGCUCGUAAAACUCUGUUGUUGAAGAAGAACACAUCUGAGAGUAACUGUUCAGGUGUUGACGGUAUUUAACCAGAAAGCCACGGCUAACUACGU